UAGGUGGCAAGCGUUGUCCGGAAUUAUUGGGCGUAAAGGGCUCGCAGGCGGUUUCUUAAGUCUGAUGUGAAAGCCCCCGGCUCAACCGGGGAGGGUCAUUGGAAACUGGGGAACUUGAGUGCAGAAGAGGAGAGUGGAAUUCCACGUGUAGCGGUGAAAUGCGUAGAGAUGGGGAGGAACACCAGUGGCGAAGGCGACUCUCUGGUCUGUAACUGACGCUGAGGAGCGAAAGCGUGGGGAGCGAACAGGAUUAGAUACCCUGGUAGUCCACGCCGUAAACGAUGAGUGCUAAGUGUUAGGGGGUUUCCGCCCCUUAGUGCUGCAGCUAACGCAUUAAGCACUCCGCCUGGGGAGUACGGUCGCAAGACUG
rnacentral:rRNA from 1 species